UUUUCGCAUGAGCGCUUUUUUUCACCAAAUUUUCGUCCUGCAAUCUUAUUAUUUUUUUCACCAAAUCUCACUCUCGCUCUCUGUACCCCAAAUCUUUCUUUCGCCGUCUCUGACCCCCAAUAUUCUUGCCCUCUCUAACCUAACCCUCUAGCGUUUUUUCCCAUCUAGAAACUAUCUUCAUUCCCAAACCCUCUUACGCCUACACUCUUAAGGCCCCAUCUCUCUCGCACUAUUAUUUUUUCAAGAUUUUAGCCUAAAUAUUCAAUCUGAAAACUGAUGGUGCUUCAUUCCCAAAUGCUUUCAAGGAAUCUGGGUCUCUUCUUUUCGAAAACCCUCUCAUGCCUGCGCUCUUAAGGAUGAACUACAAUAAGAAGUAAUCUUAUUAGGCACUGAGGUGUUCCAGUUAAGAUUGUAAAUUUGCCCUCUCUCUCUUUCUCAUUCUCCUCUCUAUCCUAUCUCUUGCUAUGCCUUCGGGUUGGGUCUGCUUCUCUCUCAUCACACCUAAAUCCCUUUCCAAAACUGAAAUUGACUAGAAAGACCUGUAAUAGCAAAGGUCAUGGCUCAUGCCCAACUGUAUCUCGUUCUUGUGCAGGAGAAGCUGCGUAAUUGUUGCACCUGCCAUUGUGGUUUUUGUUGUAAAAAUUUCACAGAUUAUUUGAGGAGGUGGAAGGAUUUGGUUUGGGGUUUUGGAUAGAGGACCAUUUGAGGAAGAUUGAUGACUUUGAGAAGAUCAAGCAACAAUUGGCAUAGUGCUUGGGAAUUCCACCAUAUUAGAUCAUAGUCCCUAUCCCACAAUGUUAAAGAUCAUGACCACAAAACUUGGAAUUACAAAGGCAUAGUACACAUGCAUUUUUCCAGUCGAAACCUAGUCUUAGAGUGGGGGAAUAAUAACUGCAGAACUUGGGUUUACCAAGGGCAAGAAUAUAUGGAGCUUGGCCUCCAAUCUUUGAGUGGAGAGUUCUUCACACGUUUAUGUCACUAUGUAAUGUGUACUUGAAUAAUUAGUACGCUUGUGUACUUUUGAAUGAGAGAAACUUUUAUUCAUGUCAUUUUCUAUU